rnacentral:rRNA from 1 species
CCCCUUUGCGUAGUAGCACAACCUCGCACUGGAACUUGGCAAGGCCACGCCGUUAAACCCCCCACUUCUGAAGGUUGACCUCGGAUCAGGUAGGAAUACCCGCUGAACUUAAGCAUAUCAAUAAGCGGAGGAAAAGAAACCAACAGGGAUUGCCCUAGUAACGGCGAGUGAAGCGGCAACAGCUCAAAUUUGAAAUCUGGCCCUCGGGUCCGAGUUGUAAUUUGUAGAGGAUGCUUUUGGUGCGGUGCCUUCCGAGUUCCCUGGAACGGGACGCCAUAGAGGGUGAGAGCCCCGUCUGGUUGGACACCAAGCCUCUGUAAAGCUCCUUCGACGAGUCGAGUAGUUUGGGAAUGCUGCUCUAAAUGGGAGGUAUAUGUCUUCUAAAGCUAAAUACCGGCCAGAGACCGAUAGCGCACAAGUAGAGUGAUCGAAAGAUGAAAAGCACUUUGAAAAGAGAGUUAAAUAGUACGUGAAAUUGUUGAAAGGGAAGCGCUUGUGACCAGACUUGGGCUUGGUUAAUCAUCCAGGGUUCUCCCUGGUGCACUUGGCCGGCCCAGGCCAGCAUCAGUUUGCCGCGGGGGAUAAAGGCGUCGGGAAUGUGGCUCCCUCGGGAGUGUUAUAGCCCGGCGUGUAAUACCCUGCGGCGGACUGAGGUUCGCGCAUCUGCAAGGAUGCUGGCGUAAUGGUCAUCAGCGACCCGUCUUGAAACACGGACCAAGGAGUCGUCUUCGUAUGCGAGUGUUCGGGUGUCAAACCCCUACGCGUAAUGAAAGUGAACGCAGGUGAGAGCUUCGGCGCAUCAUCGACCGAUCCUGAUGUUCUCGGAUGGAUUUGAGUAAGAGCAUACGGGGCCGGACCCGAAAGAAGGUGAACUAUGCCUGUAUAGGGUGAAGCCAGAGGAAACUCUGGUGGAGGCUCGCAGCGGUUCUGACGUGCAAAUCGAUCGUCAAAUAUGGGCAUGGGGGCGAAAGACUAAUCGAACCUUCUAGUAGCUGGU